CCACGACCCCCCGUGGAACUGUGCCGUGGGUUUCUUUCUUGCUUUCUUUCCCGGACGUGUGUGUAUGGCUGUUGUGGACUGGUGCUUCUGUGAAGGGAGUGGGUGCAGUGUUUGGUUGUUUAACAGGUUACGUCAGUGUGGCACGAGAUCCUGGUUUUUGUGGUGUUUGAAAAGGAUGGUUGAGGGGACGGGAGCCAGGAUUUCGACAUAGGGGAAAAGCGGAAUUGAUAUCACCCAUAAAAGUUGGAGUUUCUUGAACGUCAUUUAUCAAAUCUACCAUGAAUGAGUCCUACAUAUGCAUCAGAAUGAAACUACCAUCACUUGUACACAG
rnacentral:lncRNA from 1 species